UACGUAGGGGGCUAGCGUUGUCCGGAAUCAUUGGGCGUAAAGCGCGUGCAGGCGGUCCGGUAAGUCCGCUGUGAAAGUCGAGGGCUCAACCCUCGAAUGCCGGUGGAUACUGUCGGGCUUGAGUACGGGAGAGGCGAGUGGAAUUCCUGGUGUAGCGGUGAAAUGCGCAGAUAUCAGGAGGAACACCGAUUGCGAAGGCAGCUCGCUGGAACGUUACUGACGCUGAGACGCGAAAGCGUGGGGAGCAAACAGG
rnacentral:rRNA from 1 species